UGGGGAAUAUUGCACAAUGGGCGCAAGCCUGAUGCAGCCAUGCCGCGUGUAUGAAGAAGGCCUUCGGGUUGUAAAGUACUUUCAGCGAGGAGGAAGGCGUUGUGGUUAAUAACCGCAACGAUUGACGUUACUCGCAGAAGAAGCACCGGCUAACUCCGUGCCAGCAGCCGCGGUAAUACGGAGGGUGCAAGCGUUAAUCGGAAUUACUGGGCGUAAAGCGCACUCAGGCGGUCUGUCAAGUCGGAUGUGAAAUCCCCGGGCUCAACCUGGGAACUGCAUCCGAAACUGGCAGGCUAGAGUCUUGUAGAGGGGGGUAGAAUUCCAGGUGUAGCGGUGAAAUGCGUAGAGAUCUGGAGGAAUACCGGUGGCGAAGGCGGCCCCCUGGACAAAGACUGACGCUCAGGUGCGAAAGCGUGGGGAGCAAACA
rnacentral:rRNA from 1 species